rnacentral:rRNA from 1 species
GCUGGAGUGUCGUAGCUAACGCGUUAAGUGCCCCGCCUGGGGAGUACGGUCGCAAGGCUUGAAACUCAAAGGAAUUGACGGGGGCCCGCACAAGCGGUGGAGCAUGUGGUUUAAUUCGACGCUACGCGAAGAACCUUACCUGGGCUUGAACUGCUGGUGGUAGGAGCCCGAAAGGGUAACGACCCGGAGCAAUCCGGGAGCCAGCAGAGGUGCUGCAUGGCUGUCGUCAGCUCGUGUCGUGAGAUGUUGGGUUAAGUCCCGCAACGAGCGCAACCCUUGCCCUUAGUUGCCAGCGGGUAAUGCCGGGCACUCUAAGGGGACUGCCUGGGAUAACCAGGAGGAAGGCGGGGAUGACGUCAAGUCAGCAUGGCCUUUAUGUCCAGGGCUACACACGUGCUACAAUGGGCGGUACAAAGGGAGGCAAAGCCGCGAGGUAGAGCUAAUCCCCAAAGCCGUCCUCAGUUCGGAUUGCAGGCUGCAACUCGCCUGCAUGAAGUCGGAAUCGCUAGUAAUCGCGGAUCAGCUACGCCGCGGUGAAUACGUUCU